rnacentral:rRNA from 1 species
UACGAAGGGGGCUAGCGUUGUUCGGAAUUACUGGGCGUAAAGCGCACGUAGGCGGAUCGACAAGUUGGAGGUGAAAUCCCAGGGCUCAACCCUGGAACUGCCUUCAAAACUAUCAAUCUGGAGGACAGUAGAGGCGAGUGGAAUUCCGAGUGUAGAGGUGAAAUUCGUAGAUAUUCGGAGGAACACCAGUGGCGAAGGCGACUCGCUGGACUGUUACUGACGCUGAGGUGCGAAAGCGUGGGGAGCAAACAGG